rnacentral:rRNA from 1 species
GACGUAGGGUCCGAGCGUUGUCCGGAGUUACUGGGCGUAAAGGGCGCGUAGGCGGUUACUCGCGUCGCACGUGAAAGCCCCCGGCUCAACCGGGGAGGGUCGUGCGAGACGGAGUAACUGGAGGCAGAGAGAGGCUGGUGGAAUUCCCGGAGUAGUGGUGAAAUGCGUAGAGAUCGGGAGGAACACCGGUGGCGAAGGCGGCCAGCUGGCUCUGACCUGACGCUGAGGCGCGAAGGCGUGGGGAGCGAACGGG